rnacentral:rRNA from 1 species
AGAUGGCAUCUGAUCUAUGUUAAAGAUUUAUCGGUAUAAGAUGGGCAUGCGUCUGAUUAGCUAGUUGGCGGUGUAACGGACCACCAAGGCGACGAUCAGUAGGGGUUCUGAGAGGAAGGUCCCCCACACUGGCACUGAGAUACGGGCCAGACUCCUACGGGAGGCAGCAGUAGGGAAUAUUGGGCAAUGGUCGGAAGACUGACCCAGCCAUGCCGCGUGCAGGAAGACGGCCCUCUGGGUUGUAAACUGCUUUUAUCUGGGAAGAAAAGGGCCAUGCGUGGCAAAUUGCCGGUACCAGAUGAAUAAGCACCGGCUAACUCCGUGCCAGCAGCCGCGGUAAUACGGAGGGUGCAAGCGUUGUCCGGAUUUAUUGGGUUUAAAGGGUGCGUAGGCGGCUGAUUAAGUCAGCGGUGAAAGACUUCGGCUUAACCGGAGCAGUGCCGUUGAUACUGGUUAGCUUGAGUGUUGGAGGGGUACAUGGAAUUGAUGGUGUAGCGGUGAAAUGCAUAGAUACCAUCAGGAACACCGAUAGCGAANGCAUUGUACUGGCCAACAACUGACGCUGAUGCACGAAAGUGUGGGGAGCAAACAGGAUUAGAUACCCUGGUAGUCCACACCGUAAACGAUGAUUACUCGCUGUUAUGGAGUAUUCUGUAGUGGCCAAGCGAAAGCGUUAAGUAAUCCACC